UACGGAGGGUGCAAGCGUUAUCCGGAUUUACUGGGUUUAAAGGGUGCGUAGGUGGGUAGGUAAGUCAGUGGUGAAAUCUCCGGGCUUAACCCGGGAACUGCCAUUGAUACUAUUUAUCUUGAAUAUCCUGGAGGUGAGCGGAAUAUGUCAUGUAGCGGUGAAAUGCUUAGAUAUGACAUAGAACACCAAUUGCGAAGGCAGCUCACUACGGGAUCAUUGACACUGAGGCACGAAAGCGUGGGGAUCAAACAGG
rnacentral:rRNA from 1 species